UACAGAGGGGGCAAGCGUUAUUCGGAAUUAUUGGGCGUAAAGGGCGCGUAGGCGGCUUGGCAAGUGGAAGGUGAAAUCCCUCGGCUUAACCGAGGAACUGCCCUCCAAACUGCUUGGCUUGAGACCGGGAGAGGUGAGUGGAAUUCCCAGUGUAGCGGUGAAAUGCGUAGAUAUUGGGGAGGAACACCAGUGGCGAAGGCGGCUCACUGGACCGGUACUGACGCUGAUGCGCGAAAGCGUGGGGAGCAAACGGGG
rnacentral:rRNA from 1 species